ACAAAUAUAACUGAUAAGCGGCCAACCAUGCUGUGCGUAUUUUAUCAAAGAUUCAAAUUCAUGUUGUAUGCCAUAAGUCCAUACGCCUCUGAAUGGAAGCAAACCGGCCCAACCCAAACCAAGUGAAGCCAAUAGGACCAGCCCAGGAGUGGCCAAGGGUCCCUCUGACUGCUGUGCCCUCUUAUUACUGGGAUUGCCUUUUGCCAAGGACAUCGCCAGUUUGUGCCAUGGCUGCCCGCUAGGCAAGCAAUCGCAGUUUUAAUAACCUCUACACGAGAUGAUUGGGGAGACUGCCGGGCGGGAUGUAGCCUUACACAUGCUACAUACGUUUAUUUUGGUUGAGUUUCACUUAACAGGCACGGAAUUAAAUGACAUUUUUGUUUUCCUUUUUCCCAAGUGACAAAUAAAAAUCCAUUAUGCCAUUAGAAGUGGCAUCUAUCAAAAAUA